rnacentral:rRNA from 1 species
UACAGAGGUCCCGAGCGUUGUUCGGAUUCACUGGGCGUAAAGGGUGCGUAGGUGGUGGGGUAAGUCGGAUGUGAAAUCUCCGGGCUCAACCCGGAAAUGGCAUUUGAAACUACCUUGCUGGAGGAUUUGAGGGGGGAUUGGAAUACUUGGUGUAGCAGUGAAAUGCGUAGAUAUCAAGUGGAACACCAGUGGCGAAGGCGAAUCCCUGGAAAAUACCUGACACUGAGGCACGAAAGCUAGGGGAGCAAACAGG